GACGUGCAAAUCGUUCGU
rnacentral:snRNA from 1 species